GACCCCUUCAUCUAGUGGUAGGAUAGCAUUUUUUCAUGAUGCCUGCAUUGGUUCAAUUCCAAUAGGGGUUA